UUUUCAAUUGUGGUUGAAUAAUUUUGAUUUCAACUGUGUGUAUGUACACACACACAAACACACACAGUUGUAAUCAAAAUUAUUCAACCCUAUU